AAAAAAAAGUGAAAGAAAAAGAAAAAAUAAACAUAGUAUACAUAACAUUUAUGUGAAAAAUAGCAGAUGUGUCACAAAAGAUUGCGCUGGGGGUAGUUUGGCAUUUAAUCAACUAGUGCAUAUAUAUAUAUAUGUAUAUAUACACGCACAACACACAUAAAUUAUGUGGGUGUACACAAACUUACUGAUAAUGCUACGUAGAUGGUAGGCCAAUGAACUGGGAAAAAGGAUUAAACUACUUUGUGCAUUGGGCAAUAGCAUAAUUGUUCUUUAUCCUUGCUCGUAGUUGACAUUCUCUAUGUUUUUGAUGGUUAUUAGGCCUGUUAGAACAUGAAAUAAUUAACAUACAAUCACUUAUUACCUAAAUACUUUAUUGUCAUGCUGCUGUCUAGCACGAUAACAUGAUAAGACAUGUUGCUAUGGUCCUUUUGAUAAUAUUAAUAGGGUUAAGGGAAAAAUGAAUUUCACUUUUAAAUAAUUUCUGUUCCGUUUGGUUUCAGGUGUUCGAAUCUUCGAGGAUGUG
rnacentral:misc_RNA from 1 species